rnacentral:lncRNA from 1 species
AAUCAAACUCGAAUUAAUUUAUUAAAAUGCAAUGAUGAGGGUAACACAUUUUUUAGUUAAAUUUACAAAAUAUGUGAAUUAAAAUAAUGAUAAGUGCUAUGAAUAAGAUAUUAAUUUAUGCAUUAUUUAGCACUUAUCAAGAGGUAAUCGAACAAUUGGCCAGGUAAGCAGGUGGGAGGCUCCCCUUACUCAGAGAGUAAGGUCCUAAUUAAGUAACCAC